UACAUGGGGUGCAAACGUUGCUCGGAAUUAUUGGGCGUAAAGCGCACGUAGGCGGUUUGUUAAGUCGGAUGUGAAAUCCCUCGGCUCAACUGAGGAAGUGCAUCCGAAACUGGCAGGCUUGAGUACUAAAGAGGGUCGCGGAAUUCCCGGUGUAGAGGUGAAAUUCGUAGAUAUCGGGGGGAACACCGGUGGCGAAGGCGGCGACCUGGGUGGAUACUGACGCUGAGGCGCGAAAGCGUGGGGAGCAAACAGG
rnacentral:rRNA from 1 species